rnacentral:rRNA from 1 species
AACGGUGGAUCACUUGGCUCGUACGUCGGUGAAAAACGAGGCGAGACUCGAAAGUUUAUGUGAAUUGCAGCCACGUUGAACAUAGAAAUUUUGAACGCACAUUGCGGUGUUGAGUUGACUCGACGCCGCGUCUGUCUGAGGGUCGUUAC